UACGUAGGGGGCAAGCGUUGUUCGGAAUUACUGGGCGUAAAGGGCGCGUAGGCGGCACGGCAAGUCGGGAGUGAAAGGCCUGGGCUCAACCGAGGAACUGCUUUCGAGACUGCCGAGCUAGAGUGCGGAAGGGGCAACUGGAAUUCCCAGUGUAGCGGUGAAAUGCGUAGAUAUUGGGAAGAACACCGAUUGCGAAGGCAGCUCGCUGGGACGUAACUGACGCUGAGACGCGAAAGCGUGGGGAGCAAACAGG
rnacentral:rRNA from 1 species